CAGUAGCCGCGGUAAUACGGAGGGGGCUAGCGUUGCUCGGAAUCACUGGGCGUAAAGGGUGCGUAGGCGGGUUUUUAAGUCAGAGGUGAAAUCCUGGAGCUCAACUCCAGAACUGCCUUUGAUACUGAAAGUCUUGAGUAUGGGAGAGGUGAGUGGAACUGCGAGUGUAGAGGUGAAAUUCGUAGAUAUUCGCAAGAACACCAGUGGCGAAGGCGGCUCACUGGCCCAUAACUGACGCUGAGGCACGAAAGCGUGGGGAGCAAACAGGAUUAGAUACCCCCGUAGUCCCUGUCUCUUAUAC
rnacentral:rRNA from 1 species